rnacentral:rRNA from 1 species
AAGCCCUUCGGGGUGGAUCAGUGGCGAACGGGUGAGUAACACGUGGGUAACCUACCCUGAACUCUGGGAUAACUCCGGGAAACCGGGGCUAAUACCGGAUACGACCUGGGGCGGCAUCGGCCCGGGUGGAAAGUUUUUCGGUUCAGGAUGGACCCGCGGCCUAUCAGCUUGUUGGUGGGGUAAUGGCCUACCAAGGCUUUGACGGGUAGCCGGCCUGAGAGGGCGACCGGCCACACUGGGACUGAGACACGGCCCAG